rnacentral:rRNA from 1 species
CGGGGGGGGUAAGCGUUGUUCGGAAUUACUGGGCGUAAAGGGCUCGUAGGCGGCCAACUAAGUCAGACGUGAAAUCCCUCAGCUUAACUGGGGAACUGCGUCUGAUACUGGAUGGCUUGGAUUCGGGAGAGGAAUGCGGAAUUCCAGGUGUAGCGGUGAAAUGCGUAGAUAUCUGGAGGAACACCGGUGGCGAAGGCGGCAUUCUGGACCGACAUUGACGCUGAGGAGCGAAAGCCAGGGGAGCAAACGGGAUUAGAUACCCCGGUAGUCCUGGCCCUAAACGAUGAAUGCUUGGUGUGGCGGGUAUCGAUCCCUGCCGUGCCGAAGCUAACGCAUUAAGCAUUCCGCCUGGGGAGUACGGUCGCAAGGCUG